rnacentral:rRNA from 1 species
AACGAACGCUGGCGGCAUGCCUAACACAUGCAAGUCGAACGAGACCUUCGGGUCUAGUGGCGCACGGGUGCGUAACGCGUGGGAACCUGCCCUUAGGUUCGGAAUAACUCCCCGAAAGGGGUGCUAAUACCGGAUAAUGUCUUCGGACCAAAGAUUUAUCGCCUUUGGAUGGGCCCGCGUUAGAUUAGCUAGUUGGUAGGGUAAAAGCCUACCAAGGCGAGGAUCCAUAGCUGGUCUGUGAGGAUGAUCAGCCACACUGGGACUGAGACACGGCCCAGACUCCUACGGGAGGCAGCAGUGGGGAAUAUUGGACAAUGGGCGAAAGCCUGAUCCAGCAAUGCCGCGUGAGUGAUGAAGGCCUUAGGGUUGUAAAGCUCUUUUAACCGGGAUGAUAAUGACAGUACCGGGAGAAUAAGCUCCGGCUAACUCCGUG